GAUGAAGAACGCAGUGAAAUGCGAUACGUAAUGUGAAUUGCAGAAUUCAGUGAAUCAUCGAAUCUUUGAACGCAUAUUGCGCUCUUUGGUAUUCCGAAGAGCAUGCUUGUUUGAGUAUCAGUAAACACCUCAAAGUCUUUUUUUCUUGAAGAAAAAGACCUUGGACUUGAGCAAUCCCAACUCUUCUUUCAGAAGAGGCGGGUUGCUUGAAAUGCAGGUGCAGCUGGACAUUCUCCUGAGCUAAAAGCAUAUUCAUUUAGUCCCGUCAAACGGAUUAUUACUUUUGCUGCAGCUAACAUAAAGGGAGUUUGACCAUUUUGGCUGACUGAUGCAGGAAUUUCACAAGAGUCUUCAAAACGCUCUUGUUAAACUCGAUCUCAAAUCAAGUAAGACUACCCGCUGAACUUAAGCAUAUCAAUAAGCGGAGGA
rnacentral:misc_RNA from 1 species